UACGAAGGGGGCGAGCGUUGUUCGGAUUUACUGGGCGUAAAGGGCGCGCAGGCGGUUCUGUUUGUCGAGUGUGAAAGCCCCGGGCUCAACCUGGGAACUGCGCUCGAAACGGCGGAACUAGAGUUCGGGAGAGGAGAGUGGAAUUCCUAGUGUAGCGGUGAAAUGCGCAGAUAUUAGGAGGAACACCGGUGGCGAAGGCGCCGCUCUGGGCCGAUACUGACGCUGAGGAGCGAAAGCGUGGGUAGCAAACAGG
rnacentral:rRNA from 1 species